GAUGAAGAACGUAGUGAAAUGCGAUAAGUAAUGUGAAUUGCAGAAUUCAGUGAAUCAUCGAAUCUUUGAACGCACCUUGCGCUCCUUGGUAUUCCGAGGAGCAUGCCUGUUUGAGUGUCAUUAAUAUAUCAACCUCUUCAGCUUAUGCUUGUUGAGUGUUGGAUGGUGGGGGUUUGCUGGUGUCUUAUGAAGUCAGCUCCUCUGAAAUGCAUUAGCGGAACAAUUUGUUGACCGUUCAUUGGUGUGAUAAAAAUAUCUACGCUAUUGACGUCAGUCAGUUCAGCUUCUAACAGUCCAUUGACUUGGACAAAUUUUUCAUUAAUGUGACCUCAAAUCAGGUAGGACUACCCGCUGAAAUUAAGCAUAUCAAUAAGCGGAGGA
rnacentral:misc_RNA from 1 species